CCCGACGCGGCUACGAUGGUGGAGUGGCGCAGCACUGUAAAUGCUGUACAUCAGAAACUCAUGAGGUUCGAAUCCUCACGGCGGGA
rnacentral:tRNA from 1 species